rnacentral:rRNA from 1 species
AGAGUUUGAUCAUGGCUCAGAAUCAACGCUGGCGGCGUGCCUAACACAUGCAAGUCGAACGCGAGAGAGGCUUCGGCCUCAAUUGAGUGGCAAACGGGUGAGUAACACGUGGGUGACCUACCUUCGAGUGGGGGAUAACGUCCCGAAAGGGACGCUAAUACCGCAUAACAUCCUGUCCUUGAACGGAUGGAGAUCAAAGCCGGGGAUCGCAAGACCCGGCGCUUGAUGAGGGGCCCGCGUCCGAUUAGCUAGUUGGUGAGGUAACGGCUCACCAAGGCAACGAUCGGUAGCCGGCCUGAGAGGGCGGACGGCCACACUGGGACUGAGACACGGCCCAGACUCCUACGGGAGGCAGCAGUGGGGAAUUGUUCACAAUGGGCGCAAGCCUGAUGACGCAACGCCGCGUGGAGGAUGAAGGUCUUCGGAUUGUAAACUCCUGUUGCCCGGGACGAAUGGCUCCAACCUAAUACGUUGGAGUGUAACGGUACCGGGUGAGGAAGCCCCGGCUAACUCUGUGCCAGCAGCCGCGGUAAUACAGAGGGGGCAAGCGUUGUUCGGAAUUACUGGGCGUAAAGGGCGCGUAGGCGGCCUGCUAAGUCGAACGUGAAAUCCCCGAGCUCAACUCGGGAACUGCGUCCGAUACUGGCAGGCUUGAAUCCGGGAGAGGGAUGCGGAAUUCCAGGUGUAGCGGUGAAAUGCGUAGAUAUCUGGAGGAACACCGGUGGCGAAAGCGGCAUCCUGGACCGGCAUUGACGCUGAGGCGCGAAAGCCAGGGGAGCAAACGGGAUUAGAUACCCCGGUAGUCCUGGCCCUAAACGAUGAAUGCUUGGUGUGGCGGGUAUCGAUCCCUGCCGCGCCGAAGCUAACGCAUUAAGCAUUCCGCCUGGGGAGUACGGUCGCAAGGCUGAAACUCAAGGAAUUGACGGGGGCCCGCACAGCGGUGGAGCAUGUGGUUUAUCGACGCACGCGAAGAACCUUACCCAGGCUUGAACUGCAGGUGAACACUCUAC